UACGUAGGUGGCAAGCGUUAUCCGGAUUUACUGGGUGUAAAGGGCGAGUAGGCGGGAUUGCAAGUCAGAUGUGAAAACUACGGGCUCAACCGAUAGAGUGCAUUUGAAACUGCAGUUCUUGAGUGAUGGAGAGGCAGGCGGAAUUCCCGGUGUAGCGGUGGAAUGCGUAGAUAUCGGGAGGAACACCAGUGGCGAAGGCGGCCUGCUGGACAUUAACUGACGCUGAGGCGCGAAAGCGUGGGGAGCAAACAGG
rnacentral:rRNA from 1 species